CAGGAGAAGCCGCCCGAGGGGAGGGGGCGGGGCUGCGUGCCCAUUCUUGCCCUGCUCUGCGGGGCGGGCGUUCGCCGGACCAAGCCCGCCCCUCGCUGCCCCUGAGUUUCCGGACAUUUUCUCUUCUGGGUCUCCCCUGGAGGCUUUCAGCAGCAGCAGGCCAGUCGCCUCCCCCCUCCCACGACCCCUGAAGACGAUUUCAUCGAACUUGCAAUAACCCCGGACCUCCAGCCACAAUGAAACCACAAAAGAGGGUGUGGGACUCUUUAUUGUGCUAUGACACCCACACCCCUGGAGGUCGGGCAGCUGGCUCUGCCGCCCCUGCUUUUGUUUCAAGGGUUUCAGUUCGACAACUGCCCCGGCCACGGGUGCCACCUUCAGCAAGGUCUCCUUGAAUAAGCGCCAUCAGCACCCAAGAAAAGGAUCUUCACCCCGCUUCAAGUUUCCCACCGUUGCGUGCGAACUCUCGUUGGGAGCCAGUCUUCAUUCAUUGUCCUCUGAGUGCUUGUGUUUUAAAUUGUUUUCUUUGUUCUUGGUUGCCUCUACAUUGUGUGUUUGGUUACCCUAUUGUAUUGUAACCUUUGAAAGUCCUAUAAGAACCCUGUGGGUUCCCCAGCAAACACACACACACACACACAGAGUCGGGUCAGGGGGCAGCAGCCCUCACUGGCAGUGGCCGUGAUGGGAUAAUGUUAGUCAAAAGUUGGACAACAAAGGCCAGAAGUUUUGAUUUGCAACCCUUCAAGCAUGCAGCCAGACACACACACACACACCAUCCUGGCUUGUGUUCCCUGGAGUGGGACAGACAGACAGACCUCUGGCUGUUCAGGAGGGGGCUAUUUGGGGGCUGGGAAGGGAUUUCUGCUUCCCCUGACAGCUGAGCCCUCAGCCUGACCAAAGAGCGCACACGCCCCUCCCCCCCACCCCGUGGCACAGCCUUUCCUGCCACUACUGAGAAGCGAAGGUGGCCCAGGGGCAACAGAGAUGCUGCUGCACCAAAGUCCUGGCGAGGGGGACGGGAGCCGUGCUGAGUUGUCACCAAGAACAGAGCCGCUCCCUGCUGUCCGUCAUUGUGGGCAUCCUGUGUAGUCCCCCGUCGGCCACGUGUACACCUGCACAGAAGCCCACUCGAUCAACUAUCGUGUGGCAGGCCAGAGCAGAAUCAAAAGCCAGCCUCCAUAAGAGUGUCCACUAUUCAACUGGUCUACAGGGUAAUAAUCAUCACAAUCAGGAGCCAAAAGCAUUGGAAGCAGAAACACUUCACUUUGCACUGGAUGAUGCACACAAGAUGUGUGCAAGAGGCCUACACUCAAAGCUUUGGGAGGGUGGGGGGAAUGGCCCUAAAAACUAUGUCGUCCAAGGGAUUGUAGAUCAGUGCAGUAAAGCAGAAAGUGACACCCAGUCAGAGGUGUACGGCCUAUAGGGACAUAGGGUCACCCAUGUCCCCAGGAGCAUGCCUUUUGGUCACGUGGGGGGUGCCCCAGCUACCAAGCCCCGCCUCAUGAUCACAUGGGGGCGGGGCAGCAGCACACGGCCAUGGUUCCCACCUGGGCUGCCCGCUGCCUCUGAGCCCCGCCCCUCGUGCAGAUUGGCUUUUGCCCUCCCGAGGCCCUGCCAGCGUCAACGGAGGCUGGGGGGCAGGGCUUGGCCUGUAAGGAGGUCGUGGGUGGGGCUCAGCAGUGGGUGGCCCUGCCCCUGAGCCCCACCAUCUAGCCUCUGUGCAGGCCAGCUUUUGCCCUCCCCAGGCCCUGCCAGCCUGCAGGCCUUGCCCCCAAGCCCCACCUCUGUGCUGCCAGCAAGGGCGUGGCUUGGUGCCCCAAGCCACGCCCCCAAACGCCAGGGGGCCACUGGGUGGUGCCUGGAGAAGUGGUUGACUCUGGGCACCAUUUUCCCCUGAAACACCUCAGCACCCAGUAAUCCAAUCUGCCCACAGUUCUUUUCUUCCCACCAUUAAAUCACUCCAAUUACAUAACACUCAAGUAUAAAAAUAAAAUUUAAAACGUAGAUGGGAGUCCAGUAUAGCCUUAGAGGCCGACAAGAUUUUUUGGGGUAUAACUUUUCGACACUGAAGCUGCCUUCGUCACUUACAACUAAAGACGCUUCGACUCUCAAGAUCAUGUACGCCCAAAAUGUUAUUGGUACCUGAGGUGCUACUGGGUUGAAUCCAGUUCUUCUACUGCAGACCAACACAACUUCCCUCUGGGGGGAAACUCCCUAUUUGCUUUGAAGCUGGAUUCAAGGGAAGCCCAUCGCUUUGUGUUCAAGCCAUGAAAAUGACAUGCCUACACUUGCUGAAGUUGGCAUGUUGUCAUGUUGGAGGGAAACACAGAAAUCCGGAUCCUGCCUCCUUCGAUGGUCCGUGCACCCAAUGGAGGAAACGGAAGCAGCAUCUCAGCACUUGACUCCCAUACUGGAAACUUUUCACUCAUUCAUGGGAAAGCUCCUUACUGAAUAACUGUGAUGUUAUGUUUUGUGAAGUGAUAGGAAAUUUUUGUAACGGAGCUGAUGAAGCUAAUGAAAUAGUGUUGUAUUUAUGGGUCAUGUAUUAUUUGUAAUCUUUUUGUGUUGUUUCUAUAUUAUUUGUAUUUUAUAUAGAUUUUAUCUGUAAGUGUUAGUAUGCCAAUAAAGGUUUUGAAGUUUGAA